UGUCCCACCCCGAUCCACUCCCACACCGCCCACACCCGAUGCAGAUCAAGAUCGAGAUCCCUUCCUCUCCUCUCCUCUGCCGUCCACCCUCGCUAUCGUCCCUCUCUCUCCCUCUCUCCUCUACCGUCCACCCAAUCCACCCGCCGCCGGUGAGCCCCAGCACACAGAGGGGUAAGAUCCAACAGCCAAGACAGUCCACCACCAGGCCAUGGCACCGCCCCGAGCACUUGCGCCCCCGACGGCGGCCCGGAUCCCAGGGACGUGUGCGUCAUCGGCGUCGCCAGCACGCCCAUUGAUGCCUUGCUUGGGGAGACUUGCCUCCUGCUCCAGUCAAUCAGUCUCCUCCCACGCCCUCCAUGGAGAUGGACCACCUCGCCGGGAGGCUCGCCGCGGCCUCCGUCUCCUCCACCGACGACCCCACACCCUCCCCCGCCACGGGAGGGGAUGGCAGCCUCCUCGAUGUCAUCUGCGCUGUCGAGCGCGCCGAGGGCACCAUCCGCAACCAGGCUCAAGGAGGAGCUGACGAAGAAGACACGACUGCUGCAGAGGGUUGUCUCCGCCAGUGAGUUUUUGGAACCUCUUUGUCAAGCAGGUCUCUGCCAGCAUUGGGAUGGCAAUGCCACACAUUGAUGUAUCGAUACUUUCUGGUCGCAUGAAAUGUUAGCUUUAUUUUACAGCUUUAAAGAUACAAAUCUUUGUGCUUAUUUUGAUGUAGAUAGGAAUAGUGCAUACAUGGCUUUGCAGAGUCAAUUUUUGCCCUUUUAUCGCAUCAAAACUUGCCACAUACUAUUAUGUGACGCUUUCGCUAACCACGCAAUCGACCGCGCAGAACUACGAGAGGCUUAAGCAGGAGCAUGAUAAGAAGGUGGGGCUGCUGAGGAAGCAGGAGGUGAGGGGCAUGGACUACCUCAAGAUGGAGAAGAACAAGAUGGAGAUGGAGAGCCUCGAGUCCAAGAUGCUUGUGGCCACCCAGUCCAUCGACACCACCACCUCCGAGAUCAUCAGGCUCAGAGAAUCAGAGCUAUUCCCUCAGAGGUGAUCGAUGCUGAGUAGCACGGCCCGGUGGCGCUGUGCUCUUCAACCACUCGGAGACGGACUUCCCCGUGAAGCCUGGUUGCCAUGUCGCACAGAUGAUUGUCCAGGUGAUUUCGACGCCAGAGGUCGCCCAGGUGUGGAUGACCUUGACGCCACCAUCCGGGGGAGGGAGGAUUCGAGUCCACCAACGGCUGAACUCCAAGCCCAGGUUGAUACAUUUAGAGAAGUGGUCUGUUUAGGUUGGUGGUGGAGCACUAGGGAAGGUACCCACCAUACGAUGAUGGUUAUGUGUGUCUGAUGUUAAAUGGAAUCUUGAGAUGUUCUGUGACAUGUUAAAUGGAAUAUUGAGAUGGUUCAGUGACAUUCGUUUGUUUUGCA